GUUCUAUUUUUUUACAAAACCAUGAAGAACCACAACCUAUCCAAAAUGAAUCACAGAAAAUCCAGUCUCAGCAUUUAUUUUUAAAUAACACAUCUAGUCAUAUAAUGGAGAGUCAUAAAUAGCAUACAUAACUAAAACUCCUGGCAUUUAAAAACACGUGUGUAGCCUUCUUAAAUCCAAGGAAACAUUGAGAACUAUUUAUUUUUUAAUAUGAGCAUUAUUUGGGUGGCAGCCUUUGAAGGUUUCCUUUUACUGGUAAAAGACAAUGAUAUAUCUUGCCCUGAUGAAGGCAAACCCAAGACAGGCUUGUAAGGUAGAGUCAGAGAGACUCAUUAGCCAAAACUUUUCCUUUUCAGAAGCCAACUCAUUUUUAUCAAAUGUCUUCUGAAGAAAUUGCGAUGUUCAUCCUGAAAUUUUCCUUUGCAGGAAUCUAUUGCAAAGAGUGCAUCCGAUUCUAGAUAAUAGUUUCUCAUUUGCGUGAGGGCUGCUGUCCUUUUGCAUUUGCUUUCCUAUUGAUUUCCACAGAUAUAUUUGUCCUUCUGUGAGUAUGAGAGCCAUAGCUCUGUUGUGACCCCUGGUAGUGAGUGUACAUCUCCAUAUAAGUGGUAUAGAGCCACCUGGCUCUGAAAUAUGUGUGAGCACACAGAGCUUUCCUUACUUUUUAAUCUCAGGAUCAGUGGAUUUAUUGGGAUGGUGCUGACAUAAAAAAUGAAAUGAAACAUCUGUGUCUAACAGCUGCACAAAAUUUGGAUUCAUGUAAACUGCUCUGACAUCACACAUUCUGCAUGUGAGUUCCAUGAGUAGCCUCCAUAUGGUGCUAAUACAAUAACAUGCCUACAAAGUCCCUGUGGUUUAUGGUGUGAUGAACUCCAGAACUGAGGAAAUGAGCCAAGAAGCCUACACCAUUUGCUGAAUGGAGCCGGCUUUGGGUAAUAUCUUGUUCUCACUGAACUACUCAGUUUCACUAGGGAUAGGAAGCCAGACUGGGCAUAGUACCAACAAUAAACUUAAUGUUGGGGAUGUUGGUCACCACUCCUCUAACGUGGUAGGAGAGAAGUCUCACGAUGAUUUUUCCUUACUCCAUAGAAAAAUAGAUGUGGGAUUGCAAACGGGUGAUGGAUGGGUAAGUGAAGCAAGUUUACCCCUUCUAGGCAGUCAGGAAAAGACAGGUAAAAAGAGAGAAACAAAACAUACAUAAUGUUUCAAAGCAGAUCCUAGAAAGAUACAGCAAUCCUUUUCUGGGAGGCUGGAGUCAUGCCCAGGGUACAUGGUAGCAUUGAUCAGAUCAAUGACACACCACACUGACCUAUAGCUAUAAACAAAAGCCACACAUGUUCUCUUUCUUCUGCUAAAGACAGGGGCUGCAGGAAUUUGGCAAAUAGUUGUAGUUGUUCUGACAGACUACACAUGUAGACUAGAAAAAAAAUCUGUUCUUAUUUAAUUUUUUAAAAAAGAUC